AGUGAACGCUGGCGGUAGGCCUAACACAUGCAAGUCGAACGGCAGCACAGUAAGAGCUUGCUCUUACGGGUGGCGAGUGGCGGACGGGUGAGGAAUACAUCGGAAUCUACUUUUUCGUGGGGGAUAACGUAGGGAAACUUACGCUAAUACCGCAUACGACCUACGGGUGAAAGCAGGGGAUCUUCGGACCUUGCGCGAUUGAAUGAGCCGAUGUCGGAUUAGCUAGUUGGCGGGGUAAAGGCCCACCAAGGCGACGAUCCGUAGCUGGUCUGAGAGGAUGAUCAGCCCCACUGGAACUGAGACACGGUCCAGACUCCUACUGGAGGCAGCAGUGGGGAAUAUUGGACAAUGGGCGCAAGCCUGAUCCAGCCAUACCGCGUGGGUGAAGAAGGCCUUCGGGUUGUAAAGCCCUUUUGUUGGGAAAGAAAAGCAGCAGGUUAAUACCCCGCUGUUCUGACGGUACCCAAAGAAUAAGCACCGGCUAACUUCGUG
rnacentral:rRNA from 1 species